UUAGAAUAAAUGAAACAUUAUGGUUUAAUGGAGUGUGCACAGGACUUCAAGUGAGAGAGCAGGUUCUGGUGUUCUGGGUUUCAGUGGAGUUGCUCUGAGUGAGAGUUUCCAAAUGAAAAUCACUAUCGACUCAAUAGCAUUU